AUACGGAGGGUGCAAGCGUUAAUCGGAAUUACUGGGCGUAAAGCGUACGUAGGCGGUUCGUUAAGUCAGAAGUGAAAGCCCUGGGCUCAACCUGGGAACGGCUUUUGAGACUGGCAGACUAGAGUUGAGUAGAGGGGAGUGGAAUUUCCGGUGUAGCGGUGAAAUGCGUAGAGAUCGGAAGGAACACCAGUGGCGAAGGCGACUCCCUGGACUCAAACUGACGCUGAGGUACGAAAGCGUGGGUAGCAAACAGGAUUAGAAACCCUAGUAGUCC
rnacentral:rRNA from 1 species